AAACUGGGUCUAAUACCGGAUAUGACUUCUUACCGCAUGGUGGGUUGUUGAAAGAUUUAUCGGUGGGGGAUGGACUCGCGGCCUAUCAGCUUGUUGGUGAGGUAAUGGCUCACCAAGGCGACGACGGGUAGCCGGCCUGAGAGGGUGACCGGCCACACUGGGACUGAGACACGGCCCAGACUCCUACGGGAGGCAGCAGUGGGGAAUAUUGCACAAUGGGCGAAAGCCUGAUGCAGCGACGCCGCGUGAGGGAUGACGGCCUUCGGGUUGUAAACCUCUUUCAGUAGGGAAGAAGCGAAAGUGACGGUACCUGCAGAAGAAGCGCCGGCUAACUACGUGCCAGCAGCCGCGGUAAUACGUAGGGCGCAAGCGUUAUCCGGAUUUAUUGGGCGUAAAGAGCUCGUAGGCGGUUUGUCGCGUCUGCCGUGAAAGUCCGAGGCUCAACCUCGGAUCUGCGGUGGGUACGGGCAGACUAGAGUGAUGUAGGGGAGACUGGAAUUCCUGGUGUAGCGGUGAAAUGCGCAGAUAUCAGGAGGAACACCGAUGGCGAAGGCAGGUCUCUGGGCAUUUACUGACGCUGAGGAGCGAAAGCAUGGGGAGCGAACAGGAUUAGAUACCCUGGUAGUCCAUGCCGUAAACGUUGGGCACUAGGUGUGGGGGACAUUCCACGUUUUCCGCGCC
rnacentral:rRNA from 1 species